GACGAACGCUGGCGGCGUGCUUAACACAUGCCAGUCGAACGGUGAAGCGCCUUCCUUUUUGGUGGGUGUGGAUGAGUGGCGAACGGGUGAGUAACACGUGAGUAACCUGCCCCCUUCUUCUGGAUAACCGCAUGAAAGUGUGGCUAAUACGGGAUAUUCUGGGUCUGUCGCAUGAUGGGUCUGGGAAAGAUAUUGUUUCGGUGGGGGAUGGGCUCGCGGCCUAUCAGCUUGUUGGUGGGGUGAUGGCCUACCAAGGCGGUGACGGGUAGCCGGCCUGAGAGGGUGGACGGUCACACUGGGACUGAGACACGGCCCAGACUCCGACGGGAGGCAGCAGUGGGGAAUAUUGCACAAUGGGCGCAAGCCUGAUGCAGCGACGCCGCGUGAGGGAUGGAGGCCUUCGGGUUGUGAACCUCUUUCGCCAGUGAAGCAGGCCUGCCUCGUUUGUGGGUGGGUUGACGGUAGCUGGAUAAGAAGCGCCGGCUAACUACGU
rnacentral:rRNA from 1 species